rnacentral:ncRNA from 12 species
AAGGCUCUGUUUUGACCGAAUCCUGACGCGGCGCGUCAGAGACUCAUUAGGUCAGACGGGGCCUU